rnacentral:pre_miRNA from 1 species
UUCCCUUUGUCAUCCUAUGCCUGGAGUUCAUAGUGAGGCAGGGACAGCAAAGGGAUGC